CUUGGUCAUUUAGAGGAAGUAAAAGUCGUAACAAGGUCUCCGUUGGUGAACCAGCGGAGGGAUCAUUACCGAGUUUACAACUCCCAAACCCAUGUGAACAUUACCUCUAUGUUGCUUCGGCGGAGCCGCCCCGGCGCCCGGAACCCCCUGCGGUCCCGCGGCCCGGGACCAAGGCGCCCGCCGAAGGCCACAAACUCUUCUGUUUUUACAGUUUCUUCUGAGUGUGCCGCAAGGCAGUAUACAAAUGAAUCAAAACUUUCAACAACGGAUCUCUUGGUUCUGGCAUCGAUGAAGAACGCAGCGAAAUGCGAUAAGUAAUGUGAAUUGCAGAAUUCAGUGAAUCAUCGAAUCUUUGAACGCACAUUGCGCCCGCCAGAAUUCUGGCGGGCAUGCCUGUUCGAGCGUCAUUUCAACCCUCGAGCUCCCCUUUCGGGGGGAGCCCGGCGUUGGGGACCCGGCGCUAACAACGCCGGCCCCGAAAUGGAGUGGCGGCCCGUCCGCGGCGACCUCUGCGUAGUAACAACCACUCGCACCGGGACCCGGGCGCGGCCACGCCGUAAAACACCCCACCUUCCGAAUGUUGACCUCGAAUCAGGUAGGAAUACCCGCUGAACUUAAGCAUAUCAAUAAGCGGAGGA
rnacentral:rRNA from 1 species